AAUCACUUGAUGGCUUUUCAGGAAGACUUUCAAGAAAAGAAGACGUUCAGGAAGCUAGAUGCUCUGAGAGGAAAAAUCUGUUUGUCCUUCAAAAAAUGAUAAUUAGAACCAUUGAAGUUAUCAGGUGAGAGAUCAUUCAAUAAAGGCAUCAGGAAGAAGAGAAAAGCAGUACUACUUUGGUGAUCUCCUGCUCAAAAGAAUUAAGGGCUCUAGAGAAGAGGCAAGAUGGCAGAAGAAGAGGAAGCAGUAUUCUACAUUCCUCUAGACAGAUCUAGAAAAUGACGCAGACUGAAUACUAAUG